UAACAUUCCACCCCAGGUUGUACGAUGCUUCUCUGUUUUCUCAGGUAUCAAUCCACUCACUGAGUUCACAACUAGUUGAGUCUCUCCAGAACCCUCUUGAACCUUCCUCUGGAACACAAGAAGAAAAUUAGGGGAACUCUUGCUUACAUUUGUGCUCAUAGGAUAGCCUGGAGCUCAGUCUCCAUAGUGAGAAAUGCAGCUUCUACCCUGAACCUUGUCACUCUGAGCCUCUUUUUCUUUUUUUAGACCAAACCAAACCAAACAAGCAAACAAACAAAAACACAAGAACAAAAACAAAAUAACCCAAGGAACUGGGGGGAUGGGUUUGUCUCCAAUGGAUUUUUCUGACCAUGAAGGCCUGACCCCACAGGACUGAAGGAGGUCAGGAAAGACACACAGAACAAGUUUGGAAAGUUGAAGCCGACAAAAGAGGAGAAAUUAUCAGCAUAUUCUAGGUUCUGCCAGACAGUCUUUUAUUACAUGAUAAAAGCAACACUAGGCACUAGAUCUUGUAAAAUAAGCUCUGACCAACUUUCUGAAAUUAAAAAUGCAUAACCACA